UCUUGUUUAUUCCCUGGUCGAUCUUUUUCCUCCCCUUGCGGGGAAGUUCCCUUGCCUUAUAUAGGGCAUAACAGCCAAUCACAGGGUGUUCACAUGAACAGGGAGUAUACAGCCAAUCACAGAGGUGUUCACAUGAACAGGAGGUAUCUGGGGCUCAUAGGCAGUGGUGGCAUACGGUGCUCAUGUGACGAGCACGAGGUUACAUGUGGCCAGGGCAGAUGUUUUUUAGGCUGUCCGUACUGCUCCGGCGCCAUCUUAGGGGCGCGACUGGCGCCAUCUUGGGGGCGUGACCCCGACAGGCAAGAAGAUGUUUAGGUAUAAGACCUCUUAGAUGGUGGCAUGGAUUUGAUAUGGCAUAAAUAUAGAAGAUACCUCGAGCCAUAGGGACAUAUAAUUUGACCUUAUAAUUCUACUGCUAUGGAUACAUGUCCUAAUAAAUCAUCCAAAAUGAAAU